rnacentral:rRNA from 1 species
ACUACGGGUGGCAGCAGUGGGGAAUAUUGGACAAUGGGGGGAACCCUGAUCCAGCGACGCCGCGUGAGUGAAGAAGUAUUUCGGUAUGUAAAGCUCUAUCAGCAGGGAAGAAAAUGACGGUACUUGACUAAGAAGCCCCGGCUAACUACGUGCCAGCAGCCGCGGUAAUACGUAGGGGGCAAGCGUUAUCCGGAUUUACUGGGUGUAAAGGGAGCGUAGACGGUGCAGCAAGUCUGAUGUGAAAGGGCGGGGCCCAACCCCGGGACUGCAUUGGAAACUGUUGAACUGGAGUACAGGAGAGGUAAGCGGAAUUCCUAGUGUAGCGGUGAAAUGCGUAGAUAUUAGGAGGAACACCAGUGGCGAAGGCGGCUUACUGGACUGUAACUGACGUUGAGGCUCGAAAGCGUGGGGAGCAAACAGGAUUAGAUACCCCGGUAGUC